AACGAACGCUGGCGGCAGGCCUAACACAUGCAAGUCGAACGCCCCGCAAAGGGAGUGGCAGACGGGUGAGUAACGCGUGGGAACCUUCCCUGUGGUACGGAAUAACUGACCGAAAGGUUGGCUAAUACCGUAUACGUCCGAAAGGAGAAAGAUUUAUCGCCAUAGGAUGGGCCCGCGUCGGAUUAGCUAGUUGGUGAGGUAAUGGCUCACCAAGGCGACGAUCCGUAGCUGGUCUGAGAGGAUGAUCAGCCACACUGGGACUGAGACACGGCCCAGACUCCUACGGGAGGCAGCAGUGGGGAAUAUUGGACAAUGGGCGCAAGCCUGAUCCAGCCAUGCCGCGUGAGUGAUGAAGGUCUUCGGAUUGUAAAACUCUUUCGCCGGGGAAGAUAAUGACGGUACCCGGAGAAGAAGCUCCGGCUAAUUUCGUGCCAGCAGCCGCGGUAA
rnacentral:rRNA from 1 species